CAGGUCUGUGAUUGGAGGACACACCAGGCCUCAUACGGACUAAAAAUGCCACAUCCUCAAUGAGGUAGACUCCUUCUAUAGUCUUUCACAACUGGAAGGAAUGGCGGCCAUAGGAGGUGUUGGCUUUGGGAAUGACCAGUGAGAUAUACCUGCUGGAGCGCAGAACUACGUUCUGCACAGAUCGGCCUCCUACAAGCAGACAGCCCAGCUGAGGGAGAACUUGUAUGGAACGGUGACCGAGACACACCAGAAAUACUGUACGCCGCCUACCUGAAAGAUGUCUACAGCCAGAAGAAGUACAAGGAUGAGGCGGAGAAGCUGAAGGAUUCGUAUGGGUUCAACACCCCUGAGAUGGAGAGAGUGAAGAAUAACCAGAGGAACAUCAGCUCAUGUCGGUACGCUUGGGACUCAAAGCUGCAGAAAAGCCUGAUGUCUUCUGUCACCGACACUCCGGAAAUCGUCCUCGCCAGGGAGAACACAAAGGAAAUCAGUGAUGUGAAAUAAAGAGGGAGCGGAAAGUCUUGGAAACCGUUGACAUGGAGAGGGUCCGCAGAAACCAGGAGAACAUCAGCUUGUAUAAAAAGCAGCUCCAGGCCACCAGUGUGGGACCAGUGUGGGAGUCACCCCAGAGUUGGAGAGAGUCCGUCAGAACCAGCUCGGCAAGUCACAUAGGAUGCAUCUGAAAUGGCAACCUACAGUAUAUGUGGGCUCUGACCAAAAGUAGUGCACUAUGUAGUGGAAAUGGCCUAGGUGGGAGUGUGCUAAGCAGUAUGACCACCAAUUACUUUUGUGCUACUUUAGAUAAUUGAGAUGCACCCCGACCUACUUUUGUGCUACUUUAGAUAAUUGAGAUGCACCCCGACCUACUUUUGUGCGUUGCAGGUGAAGUACCAGGGCGGGAUGAAGGAGGUGAAGGGGCGGUCCUGCAGCGAGUUGGACACGCCCGAACAGGGAGUCUCAGAAUGACAUCUAACAUGACCGAAGCGCACCGCGUGUGGGACUGCUGCACCUUUAACCCUCAGAGCUAAAGCGUUAAAAGCAUGGCUGUUUCCUUCUAUGAGGGAGCCAUAAUGAAUGUAUGUUUGUGAGCGUGUCUGUGAGUGCACGCGCGUGUUUUACUAAUAAAGUGAUUUUUACAUGGUUUCUUGUGCAGAGUUUUUUUGCAUACUGACCAAAAUACACCCUUUGCUCUCUGACCAAAAUGCACACAGGUUGUAUGUGUGUGUGUGUACGUCUGCGUGCACGUGUGUGUCGGUAUGUGUGCUUUUGUAUGCAUGCAUCCACGUGUGUACACUUGACAGACGUUUUGCCUGGUGUGACACAAUUUCACAAAUGUGUAAAUGUACAUCAAUAAUGUUCCUCUCAUUAAGCUGCCACACAAAACUCUGAGUUGUUAUCACGACGCUGAAAGUGUGCCACCCAU